GAUGAACGCUGGCGGCGUGCCUAACACAUGCAAGUCGAACGAAGAGCCUUACCUGUUUCUUCGCUUGAAAUUUUGGUGACUGAGUGGCGGACGGGUGAGUAACGCGUGUGUAACCUGCCCUUUACUGGGGGAUAACAGCUGUAAACGGCGGCUAAUACUGCAUCAGCGCACUUGGAGACAUCUCCUUGUGUUUAAAACUCCGGAUGUACAGGUUCGGCCCGCGUCUGAUUAGCUGUUUGGCAAGGUAUCGGCCUGCCAAGGCAACGAUGAGUACCCGACCUGAGAGGGUGAUCGGCCACCCUGGAACUGAGACACGGUCCAGACUGCUACGGGAGGCAGCAGUAGGGAAUCUCCCGAAAUGGGCGAAAGCCUGACGGAGAAAAGCCGAGUGAGUGAUGAAGGUCUUCGGAGCGUAAAACUCUGUUAUUAGGGAAGAACAAAUGUGUAAGUAACUAUGCACGUCUUGACGGUACCUAAUCAGAAAGCCACGGCUAACUACGUG
rnacentral:rRNA from 1 species